AUACGUAGGGUGCAAGCGUUAAUCGGAAUUACUGGGCGUAAAGCGUGCGCAGGCGGUUUUGUAAGUCUGAUGUGAAAUCCCCGGGCUCAACCUGGGAACUGCAUUGGAGACUGCAAGGCUAGAGUGUGUCAGAGGGGGGUAGAAUUCCACGUGUAGCAGUGAAAUGCGUAGAGAUGUGGAGGAAUACCGAUGGCGAAGGCAGCCCCCUGGGAUAACACUGACGCUCAUGCACGAAAGCGUGGGGAGCAAACAGGAUUAGAUACCCUGGUAGUCCACGCCCUAAACGAUGUCUACUAGUUGUCGGGACUUAAUUGUCUUGGUAACGCAGCUAACGCGUGAAGUAGACCGCCUGGGGAGUACGGUCGCAAGAUUAAA
rnacentral:rRNA from 1 species